rnacentral:rRNA from 1 species
GACGCCUACGGGGGGCAGCAGUGAGGAAUAUUGGUCAAUGGGCGGUAGCCUGAACCAGCCAAGUAGCGUGAAGGAUGAAGGUUCUAUGGAUUGUAAACUUCUUUUAUAAAGGAAUAAAGUGAGGCACGUGUGCCUUUUUGUAUGUACUUUAUGAAUAAGGAUCGGCUAACUCCGUUCCAGCAGCCGCGGUAAUACGGAGUAUCCGAGCGUUAUCCGGAUUUAUUGGGUUUAAAGGGAGCGUAGAUGGGUAGAUAAGUCAGUUGUG